GGGCCUUAGGUCUAGUGGUAUGAUUUUCGCUUUGGGUGCGAGAGGUCCUGAGUUAGAUUCUCGGAACCCCCC
rnacentral:tRNA from 1 species